AAAGAGAUGGAUUCUUCUCUGGGCUUAGUGACUAUGAUACUCUUCCUAUGUGGACAAACACGUGGAGACUCAGUGACCCAGAUGGAAGGCCAAGUGACUUUAUUAGAAGAGGCUUCCCUGACUAUCAACUGCACUUAUACAACCACAAGUUACCCUGUACUCUACUGGUAUGUUCAAUAUCCUGGAGAAGGCCCACAGGUCCUCCUGAAAGCCCAGAGAGACAAAGAUAUUGGACGAGAGAAAGGUUUUGAAGCUACAUAUCUUAAAGACUCAAAUUCCUUCCACCUGGAGAAAGCGGCAGUGCAAGAGUCAGAUUCAGCUGUGUACUACUGUGCUACAAAAGAUGCUGAUCAAGGUGGUACCAGCUAUGGAAAGCUGACAUUUGGACAAGGCACCAUCUUGUCUGUCCAUCCAAUCAUCCCGGACCCUAAGCCUGCUGUGUACCAGUUGACAAAAUCCAAAUCCAGUGACAUGUCUGUCUGCCUCUUCACUGACUUCGAUUCUCAGACGAAUACUUCACAAGUCAAAAAGCCCACAGCAAUUGGUACCACCACAACUGUGCUGGAUAUGAGAAGCACAGGGUCCAAGAGCAAUGGCAUCCUAGCCUGGACAAGCAGCGGGGAUUCCAGUUGCAACGAGACCUUCUCUUUGGACGAGUCCUACUUCUUCAAUUCCUUUCAGACUUCCUGCAAUGCUGAGCUGGUAGAGAAAAACUUUCAAACAGACUGGGACAUGAACUUCCAGAACCUGUCCGUUAUGGCCUUGCGCAUCCUCUUCCUGAAACUUACGGGUUUCAACCUGCUGAUGACGCUGAGGCUCUGGUCCAGCUGAGACCACCAAGACUGUGAUGACUGUUCUCCCUGGUCCCUGCCUCCAUCUCUCCUACCCUCUUGCAGUCAAGAAGUCACCUCUCUGGACCACUGGCAAUGCCACCAACUGCAUCCAAUGACCAUCUGUUGUCAGAAUCUAAAGAGUGUGAAAGACGGCUGCCACCCCUCUGCUCCCUCAUUGCUGCUUGCCUCUGCCUGACAUUCCCAGCAAAGGGAGGCUGUGGUUGCCUCCCCUGGGCAGUGGAGAAUCUCCCUCUAUGCCUCCCACCCCAAGACCAUGAACUGAUAGUUCCCCAGUUUUCUCUCUUGGACUGGAGCACCUGGAGAAGAUUGUGGGGAGCUCAUAUUUUUUAAAUAAUGUUUAUAAAGAAAUGUCUAUCUUCCUUUUCCCCAAGAUGUGGAGGACUAAUCUUGUUACCUAGAUUCUGCUUUGCUCUGUAUCCAAGCCAUGUUGGAUAUACUGCCCACAACUUUAUUAAAAGCAAUUGAAAGAGCUGA